GAUCCUAAUUUUUGGCCAAAUCCAGAGAUAUUUGACCCGGAUAGAUUUUUGCCUGAGAAGAUCCGAAAUCGUCAUCCGUAUUCGUAUAUACCAUUCAGUGCUGGACCACGUAGUUGUAUCGGUCAACGAUUUGCUAUGAUGCAAAUAAAAGCAAUAACAGUCCCUCUAAUAAACAAUUUCUAUUUGGAACCCGUCGAUUAUUUAAAAAAUCUUCGGCUAGAAGCCGGUAUUACACUUCACCCAAGUCAUCCACUUCGUGUGAGGUUUGUACCAAUUUGUAAAUAGAUGAAAGCAUUUGAAGCGAUUCAAUGAAUUAUAUAAUAUUUUUUAUCAUUAAAUAAUUGUUAUAAUUUU